AUACCGCAUGAUUCUUCCAUUCUCUGGCAAGUUGCGACAACGGACGCCGCUCCGCUCCCCGUGGCGGACUCCACGUGGCACGCCCCGGUGAUAGCCAUGGGUCCACUCCACUACUCUCCACAACAAACUUCCCCUGACUCUGGGUGGCCCACCGCCAGACGGUUACAGGCAUCGCUAUCAGUUUGUUGCCCCCUCCGCCUAUAAAAGAGGGACCCC
rnacentral:lncRNA from 1 species